rnacentral:lncRNA from 1 species
AAUUUUUCAAGUGUUACAAAAUGAUCCACGGAGGCAUGCAACAUUCCUCUUCCUUUUCUCUCAUCUAGGGAAUUUGGUUUAACUAAGAUUUUAAGGGAUAAUGUAUCUAAACGAACCAACAUUACUUUCCUUCAAAAAUAUGGCUUCAAUUUACUAGAAGUGUACUUGCAAUGGUACAUCCAAAUUAAAUAAUGAAAGGACUACAUUUUAAUAUUUUGAGGUAUUGUUAUGUAAUUGGUUUUGCUAAAAAAAUAUAACAAUAUAGAUCCUAAGUUGAGAGAUUGAGUUAGGAAGAAUUAAAAAGGUUUAGUAUAAAUAGGUGAUGAACAUUUACAUUUGAAGCCUUGGAACUAAUCCUAAUUAACAAAUCUUAAAAACAAACCACAUAAAAGCAAGUCUACCACACCCAAACUAGCAUGUUAGCGAUGAAUAUGAUCAAAUUUAAAACCAUACAAAUUCAGAUCAUAUAUUUGAGUCACAAAUACCCAUACAUGUAAAUCUUCUCCCAUGACAUAUUCAUACCAACGACUAUGUAGAAGCAUUCGAUUCUUCAGAAAGUUAGUGAAAAGUCAUCACCUAAUAUGAUAUCAUAUCUUUCUCGAUUAAAUAGUUUGAAUGCAAGAAAAAAAUUAAGUAGUGUUGAAUGUUACAGGUAGUGGAAGGAACUAUCUUACCAAAGCUAAGAAGGUCGCAUCCAUCUAUAGAUACAAUAUUCACUGAUGUAGGACGUCAGUUUUAUUAACUUUUAACAAAAAAAUCACAACUCAUGAUUUUUCCAGUUAAUCCAUUAUCAAUAAAUGUUAAGGGUUGUUUGCCGUUAGUGUGGAAUUUGAGGGAAAAUGUGUCUGGACCUCAAACUCCAUAUUGAUGGUAUUGUAAGAUAUUUGCAUGGCUGCUGGUGAUGGGUUAUAAGUAGUAGGGGGUUUGGGUUUGUCACAAAUUAUGGUUCAAGUGAGGAAGACCGAUCAUUGGUCUCAUCGAAAUCAUCUUCAUCCAAUGUAAAUCCAUGUCUUGCUGGCAAUGGUGAUGUCCAUUCCACGGUUCUUUAUACACUGAUGUGAUGCUUUAUGUUGUCGAGGUGCUACAUUUGCUUGUCCUUUGUCAACAUUUCCGCCUAGUAAUUGUAUGUCAGGUGGAGGACACUGAAUUUGUCUUAGAUGUGCUCUGAACCUCUCAAACUGAGCUUGAUUAGUAACUCUCCAUGGUUGGUGCUUUCUCAUGCAGUUUUUUGCACUAGUAAUUGGAUAUUAUACCAGUAGGUUUUUGUGCACUAACUUCAUGCUUGAUUUUAGGUUUUAGACAUUCAAUGAAACAACUCAUAAUGAAUGACUCUUAUAAAUAGAAACUGCCCCUCUUGACUUGCACAUUCAAUUCAGUGAACCUAUUAGAAAACAUAUGACCAAACUGUUAUCAAUUUAUGUUUUCCAUGGAAUGGCAAGGUUUUUUAAACGAGGUAUAGGCUUUUCCAGUGAAGCGUCCUAUAGCUAAGUUCAUCCACUGGUAGAAGGGGG